rnacentral:rRNA from 1 species
AGUGAACGCUGGCGGUAGGCCUAACACAUGCAAGUCGAACGGCAGCACAGUAAGAGCUUGCUCUUACGGGUGGCGAGUGGCGGACGGGUGAGGAAUACAUCGGAAUCUACUUUUUCGUGGGGGAUAACGUAGGGAAACUUACGCUAAUACCGCAUACGACCUACGGGUGAAAGCAGGGGAUCUUCGGACCUUGCGCGAUUGAAUGAGCCGAUGUCGGAUUAGCUAGUUGGCGGGGUAAAGGCCCACCAAGGCGACGAUCCGUAGCUGGUCUGAGAGGAUGAUCAGCCACACUGGAACUGGGACACGGUCCAGACUCCUACGGGAGGCAGCAGUGGGGAAUAUUGGACAAAGGGCGCAAGCCUGAUCCAGCCAUACAGCGUGGGUGAAGAAGGCCUUCGGGUUGUAAAGCCCUUUUGUUGGGAAAGAAAAGCAGCAGGUUAAUACCCCGCUGUUCUGACGGUACCCAAAGAAUAAGCACCGGCUAACUUCGUG